GAUUAACGCUAGCGGGAUGCCUAAUACAUGCAAGUCGAACGAAGUAUUUAUACUUAGUGGCGAACGGGUGAGUAACACGUAUCCAACAUACCCAUAAGAGGGGGAUAACUAGUUGAAAAACUAGCUAAUACCCCAUAGCAUAUUUUUACAUAAGUAUUGAUAUUUAAAGUUGCGUUUGCAACACUUUUGGAUUGGGGUGCGACGUAUUAGAUUGUUGGUGAGGUAAUGGCUCACCAAGUCGAUGAUGCGUAGCUGUGCUGAGAGGCAGAACAGCCACAAUGGGACUGAGACACGGCCCAUACUUCUACGGAAGGCAGCAGUAGGGAAUUUUCCACAAUGGACGAAAGUCUGAUGGAGCAAUCCCGCGUGAAUGAUGAAGGUCCUACAAGAUUGUAAAGUUCUUUUAUUGGGGAAGAAAUGUAAGAA
rnacentral:rRNA from 1 species